CACCGCGGUUAUACGAGAGGCCCAAAUUGACAAGCACCGGCGUAAAGGGUGGUUAGGGAAAUUAACCAAACUAAAGCUGAACACUUUCAAAGCUGUUAUACGCAUCCGAAAGUAUGAAACCCAAUCACGAAAGUAGCUUUAUUUAACCUGAACCCACGAAAGCUAAGGAA
rnacentral:rRNA from 1 species